rnacentral:rRNA from 1 species
AACGAACGCUGGCGGCAUGCCUAACACAUGCAAGUCGAACGAGACCUUCGGGUCUAGUGGCGCACGGGUGCGUAACGCGUGGGAACCUGCCCUUAGGUUCGGAAUAACUCCCCGAAAGGGGUGCUAAUACCGGAUAAUGUCUUCGGACCAAAGAUUUAUCGCCUUUGGAUGGGCCCGCGUUGGAUUAGCUAGUUGGUAGGGUAAAAGCCUACCAAGGCGACGAUCCAUAGCUGGUCUGAGAGGAUGAUCAGCCACACUGGGACUGAGACACGGCCCAGACUCCUACGGGAGGCAGCAGUGGGGAAUAUUGGACAAUGGGCGAAAGCCUGAUCCAGCAAUGCCGCGUGAGUGGUGAAGGCCCUAGGGUUGUAAAGCUCUUUUACCCGGGAUGAUAAUGACAGUACCGGGAGAAUAAGCUCCGGCUAACUCCGUG